GAUGAACGCUGGCGGCGUGCCUAACACAUGCAAGUCGAACGGAAAGACAGUGAGAUCGUGCUCUUACCGAUGGCGGGUGGCGGGCGGGUCACGAGUGCAUCCGAAUCUUCUUUUUCGGGGAGGAUAACGUAAGGAAGCUUACGAUACUACCGCAUACCACGUACCGGGGAGAGCAGUGGAUAUUCGCGGCUUUCGCGGUUGAAUUAGCCGAUGUCGGAUUAGCUAGUUGGUGGGGUAAAGGCCCAGCAAGGCGACGAUACGUAGCUUGUCUGAGAGGAUGAUCAGCCACACUGGAACUGAGACACGGUCCAGACUCCUACGGGAGGCAGCAGUGGGGAAUAUUGGACAAUGGGCGCAAGCCUGACCCAGCAAUGCCGCGUGGGUGAAGAAGGCCUUCGGGUUGUAAAGCCCUUUUGUUGGGAAAGAACAGCAGUAGGUUAAUACACCGCUGUUGUGACGGUACCCAAUGAAUAAGCACCGGCUAACUUCGUG
rnacentral:rRNA from 1 species